ACACCAACAUGUCACGUUGUUCAUUUUCAGCAGCAAAACUUGAUCUUAAGUCAACGUCCAACUUAAUUUCUCUGCAGCUAAUAAGUUGAUAAAGGAGUUUAUCAGCUUUUGCUGCCCUUCACUGAUCAUCAAGGUCAUGAAAAAAUUGUUCUACUCUUCUAAGCUAAAUAGAGAACAGUGCUCUUUGCAUUGAUGGAAAGGAGAACAGCAGGGAAAAAGUGCUGCUUGUGUCCUCAGAGAGCAGUGGGAAGAGCCUGAGAGAAAUACUGGCUGGCUGAGGGAUCCUUGUGUCCCCUCUGGAAUAAAUCCUCAGACCUGCUGGUUUGCAGUCCAGUUUGGACACAUUUUGCUGCCGCUUUGGUUAUGAAGAAGUGGAAAUCCGUGGAUUUCUGGAUGAUUUCCGUAGCUUCCCCUAUUUUGUAGGAGCUGCAGGGUGAGGUCAGUAUUCUGAGGGAGUAUCCAGGGGGCUUCUCCCAGCCGAGUUUCUCCUGGAGCUGGGUGCUGAGUGUAAUGCCGGAUGUCUAAGCUGGCUUUGAGGCAUUGUGCAGUCCCAGCUCUAAGCCUGAGCCCGGGCCUGGCUGUGUCCCAGCACUAAAGCCGGCAGCUGGGUGUGCUUUUCCAGCCCUUCCAUCACGCAGGCGAUCCCAGAUUCCCGGAGCUCCCCGGCGCACGGCCUGGGCUCGCUCCCGGGGAGCUGCACUUCCGUCUGCCCGAAGCCAGGGCGUCCUGCCCGGAUUUGAAACUUUAUUGCUGUUGUUUUUCCUCUUCCAGGGAGCUGGCAAAAAAGGAGAGAGCCGCUAGGAAGCAAAGAAGCGGCCCGAAGGCCUUUUCCCAGCCCAGGGUUCCCACUUUUCUCUCUGACUCCUGAAUAAUUGCUUGAGCAUAACCAGGGAGCGUCCGUUUGAUUUCCUGCCUUUUCCAAUAAAUCCUUGCCUUCAGCUGGAGCGCGUUCCUGGUGUCCUCCUCCUCCUCCUCCUGCCGCAUGGAUUUGUAAAUAAAGUUCCUGACUUCUGUCCAACUGAAUUUUGUUAUUCCAGCAAUUGUGGCUCGCUCGUUCCAUUGAAACUUCCCCGCUCUGCCGAGAGUUUCAGAUGUCAAAUCCAGAUUGGCUGCUGGCAACAAAGAAGUUGGAAAAUGACAGCCGUGGCCACCCACCGAAGGCCUGGAUAUAAUGGGGAGUGAGACCAAAGCCCCUGUACUUUCUGCUCCAUUGAGGAACCCGAAGGGAGAAAGCUGUCUGGUUCUGUCUGCUGUUGUCAUCGUGGCCAAAAAAGAGGGGAGCUGAGGGCGCCAGGACUCACCUCCCCCCCCCAACCCCAAAUAAAACCCCUCCAAAAACUACCAACAAACGAACUUGACUUUUGUCCCGUCCCGUGUCGCCCUCCCCAAAUUCGGAUUUCUAGGGUCUCCCAGCGCCCUUAUUGGGGCUCCCCCCUCAGGGCUCCCUGCGCUGCCACCUUCCCACGAGGUCGGCGAGGAUAGGAUGCCCCCCGGACGUGCGGGAGCAGCGGGGCUCAGUUGGGAAAUCAUGACAGGAAGCACCUGCAGCUGCAGGGGUCCGGUCCCCCACCCGCCAUCUCUAUGACUUCCGCGUGGCGAAGGGGAGUCCCGGUACUCCGAACAUUCGAAUAACUGUAUGAUUCCGAUCGGGCGGGGGGCGUUUCCGGUCCUCUACUCCUUAUCUCUAUGAUUUCCGGUGCUCCUCUUUGCUAUCUCGAUGAUUCUCGGAGGGCGGGGGGUGUUUCCGGUCCGCCAGUCUAUAUCUCUAUGGUUUUUCUGCGUGGCGGAGCGGCCUUCAGGGGCCCCUCUUUGCUAUCUCGAUGAUUCUCAGAGGGAGGGGGCGCUUUCGGUCCGCCACCCCCUAUCUCUAUGGUUUUUUCUGCGUGGCGGAGCGGCCUUCAGGGGGCCUCUCUUUGCUAUCUCGAUGGUUCCGCGAGGGCGGGGGCGAUUUCUGGUCCGCCACCCCUUAUCUCUAUGGGUUUCCACGUGGCUGAGGGGCGUUUCCGGUCGUCCUCGGCCCCCAAAACCCCCCAUUCCUACCUGGAUCCCUUCAAUUCCCCUUGGGACCCCACCCCCAAGUUUCCUCUGCCAUGUUUUCCCCCGUCUCCGAUUUUUGGCGAACCCCGAAUUCCCCCCGGGGCCCCGCGGUCCCUUCCCUGAUUUCGGCGCCUCCCGAGGCCCGUGGCUCGGGGGGGCGGUCGCGACUGGGGCUCGGAGGCUGACCCCCCCCCGGGUUUGGGGGCGCUGCCCCGCGGUGCCGGGGUGGCCCCUGCAGCCGCCGGAGGAGGAAGAGACCCAGAGUAUGUGGCAGAUUGUCUGCUGGCAACAAAGAAGAUGGAAAAUGACAGCCGUGGCCACCCACCGAAGGCCUGGAUAUAAUGGGGAGUGAGACCAAAGCCUCUGUACUUUCUGCUCCAUUGAGGAACCCGAAGGGAGAAAGCUAGAGCAGUGGGAAGAGCCCGAGAGAAAUGCCGGCUGGCUGAGGGAUCCUAGUGUCCCCUCUGGAAUAAAUCCUCGGAGCUGCUGGUUUGCAGUCCGGUUUGGACACAUUUUGCUGCCGCUUUGGUUCUGAAGAAGCGGAAAUCCGUGGAUUUCUGGAUGAUUUCCGUAGCUUCCCCUAUUUUGGAGGAGCUGCAGGGUGAGGGAGCUGGCAAAAAAGGAGAGAGCCGCUAGGAAGCAAAGAAGCCGCCCGAAGGCCUUAUCCCAGCCCAGGGUUCCCACUUUUCUCUCUGACUCCUGAAUAAUUGCUUGAGCGUAACCAGGGAGCGUCCGUUUGAUUUCCUGCCUUUUCCAAUAAAUCCUUGCCUUCAGCUGGAGCGCGUUCCUGGUGUCCUCCUCCUCCUCCUGCUGCAUGGAUUUGUAAAUAAAGUUCCUGACUUCUGUCCCACUGAAUUUUGUUAUUCCAGCAAUUGUGGCUCGCUCGUUCCAUUGAAACUUCCCCGCUCUGCCGAGAGUUUGAGAUGUCAAAUCCAGUAUGUGGCAGAUUGGCUGCUGGCAACAAAGAAGUUGGAAAAUGACAGCCGUGGCCACCCACCGAAGGCCUGGAUAUAAUGGGGAGUGAGAGCAAAGCCUCUGUACUUUCUGCUCCAUUGAGGAACCCGAAGGGAGAAAGCUAUUGCAGAGUGCUGGGGAGACUGUUUGGGAUAAAGAGCUGAAAGCUCCACGCUCCCGAGGGAACGCUUUGGGCACCUGCAGCUUCUGAAGCGCACCGAUAAUCCCGGCUCCCCCAGAAACCUUCCGAAGCUGGAAGAGACAGGCAAGACAACUGCAGGAGGGGUGCGGGAAGCACUUUCUCCCGGGUCUGGACAGCACUGAGAUGGGAAUGACUUCAGAAUAUUCCUCGUGCCUCUCCUGUUGCCAGCCCGGGACUAAGUCAGUCCCUGCGUGUGGUGGGAGGAAGCCUGUGCUGGAGAGCGAGAGAAAGGUCCCUGCUGGUUGCUGUGUCCUCGGUGGGCAGAGAACUGUGACCUUGGCCAGAUGGGUUGAAUGAAAAGCUCAGUCAAGAGUGCACGACUACAAAAGCAGGGAGCUCGGAGUGCUCGGUUGCACCCUGCUGCAGGGCCUGGCCAGCACCUUGCGUGAGCUUAUGAAACCCCUGUGCCUAUCAGCAGUGAUGGAAGAGGACGGGACAGGACGGGUGACUCGUCUCGUUCUUAUCGCUCCUGCGACAAGGCAGUGAGUUGUUUUUGUAUUCCUGACUUCCGUUUCCAUCGGGGACACGUGGCUUGGAGCGCAGGAGCCAUAUGUGUUACUCACCCGCAUCAGAUUGGUCUGCAGCAGUGCAGGUUAUGAAUUACAGGAUGACUUGGAAACUUGGAAACAGGGAAAAGAAAUGAUUGUGUCUCUUUGCAAAAAAUUCGGCUACAUCAGGGCAUUAAUUCAGGGAAGGAACACUUCAUCUUUAACGUUCUGUGCUCUGCCAUCAUCACUGUGAGCCAUGAAAGCCUCCUGAGCCCUUCUCAUUUAAAAAAAAAAAAAAAAAAAAAAAAAAAUCAGUAUUUUAUUACUGUGUGCAAACUCAGGGGAAAGAUUUUAUUCAGUAUCUCUCAGUGCAACAUUAAAGCUUCAUUUUCUCUACCCUUGAACAGACUGAGACACAAUAUUACUUCUAUCAUCUUUAUUACAGGCAUUUUAAACUUUUUAAAGAACCAGAAAGACUGUUUGUGCACAUGUGUGUGUCAUUAA